rfam:Cucumis sativus cultivar 9930 chromosome 1, whole genome shotgun sequence.
UGUGAAAUGAUGAAAAAAAUCAGACGGAUUCCCAAUGAUAAUUCAUGAUAUUACAACCAGCUACUUCUGAUCACA